CUAAUACCGCAUAACGUCGCAAGACCAAAGAGGGGGACCUUCGGGCCUCUUGCCAUCAGAUGUGCCCAGAUGGGAUUAGCUAGUAGGUGGGGUAACGGCUCACCUAGGCGACAAUCCCUAGCUGGUCUGAGAGGAUGACCAGCCACACUGGAACUGAGACACGGUCCAGACUCCUACGGGAGGCAGCAGUGGGGAAUAUUGCACAAUGGGCGCAAGCCUGAUGCAGCCAUGCCGCGUGUAUGAAAAAGGCCUUCGGGUUGUAAAGUACUUUCAUGACGGGGAGGAACGAG
rnacentral:rRNA from 1 species